rnacentral:rRNA from 1 species
CGGCCCACAGACUAAAUGUUGAUGGGUUCGCAGCACCCUGCGGAUUUUCGAUAUAGUCGGUCGUUGGGGCACGCACCCCUUCGAGCAAACGUUCCGUAGGUGAACCUGCGGAAGGAUCAUUA